rnacentral:misc_RNA from 1 species
GAUGAAGAACGCAGCGAAAUGCGAUAAGUAGUGUGAAUUGCAGAAGUACCGUGAAUCAUCGAAUCUUUGAACGCAAAUUGCACUCUCUGGUAUACCGGGGAGUAUGCCUGUUUGAGGGUCGCUUAACAAACCAUCGAUUUCGUUGCUUUUUUUUAAAGAGUGAUGUUUAUCGGAUUUGAGCCGUCUUUUUUUUUUAUAUUUAAGUGGCUUAAAAUUGAUUUUUUUGGUACGAUCGAAGCGUAUUUUUAUGAUCAAUUUUUGGUUAAAGAAACGCACACGUACCGUUAUUUAUAUGAUGUAAUACGUUUGACUAUUGGAUUUAGUUCAUUCGUAUACGAUAUUUUUCAAUAUUUGACCUCAAAUCAGGUAAGAACACCCGCUGAACUUAAGCAUAUCAAUAAGCGGAGGA